GGGCCUGUAGCUCAGUUGGCUAGAGCGUUCGCCUUGCACGCGAAAGGUCACCGGUUCAAAUCCGGUCAGGUCCA
rnacentral:tRNA from 7 species